GCUAACUCUGUGCCAGCAGCCGCGGUAAUGAAGGUGGGGGGAGCGUUAAUCGGAUUUACUGGGCGUAAAGCGCGCGUAGGUGGCUAAUUAAGUCAAAUGUGAAAUCCCCGAGCUUAACUUGGGAAUUGCAUUCGAUACUGGUUAGCUAGAGUAUGGGAGAGGAUGGUAGAAUUCCAGGUGUAGCGGUGAAAUGCGUAGAGAUCUGGAGGAAUACCGAUGGCGAAGGCAGCCAUCUGGCCUAAUACUGACACUGAGGUGCGAAAGCAUGGGGAGCAAACAGGAUUAGAUACCCGGGUCGUC
rnacentral:rRNA from 1 species